UCCCUGGUGGUCUAAUGGCAAGGAUUCGGCGCUUUCACCGCCGCGGCCCGGGUUCGAUCCCCGGUCAGGGAA